AGAGUUUGAUCCUGGCUCAGGAUGAACGCUAGCUACAGGCUUAACACAUGCAGGUCGAGGGGCAGCAUGGUCUUAGCUUGCUAAGGCCGAUGGCGACCGGCGCACGGGUGAGUAACACGUAUCCAACCUGCCGUCUACUCUUGGACAGCCUUCUGAAAGGAAGAUUAAUACAAGUUGGCAUCAUGAGUCCGCAUGUUCACAUGAUUAAAGGUAUUCCGGUAGACGAUGGGGAUGCGUUCCAUUAGAUAGUAGGCGGGGUAACGGCCCACCUAGUCUUCGAUGGAUAGGGGUUCUGAGAGGAAGGUCCCCCACAUUGGAACUGAGACACGGUCCAAACUCCUACGGGAGGCAGCAGUGAGGAAUAUUGGUCAAUGGGCGAGAGCCUGAACCAGCCAAGUAGCGUGAAGGAUGACUGCCCUAUGGGUUGUAAACUUCUUUUAUAAAGGAAUAAAGUCGGGUAUGGAUACCCGUUUGCAUGUACUUUAUGAAUAAGGAUCGGCUAACUCCGUGCCAGCAGCCGCGGUAAUACGGAGGAUCCGAGCGUUAUCCGGAUUUAUUGGGUUUAAAGGGAGCGUAGAUGGAUGUUUAAGUCAGUUGUGAAAGUUUGCGGCUCAACCGUAAAAUUGCAGUUGAUACUGGA
rnacentral:rRNA from 1 species